ACUUACCAGGUAAGUUAGUCCAGUAUCAAUUAAACAAACAUAGAUGUUUAUUCUAACUCAAAAUCAAUGUGCAGAUGUCGUCGGGCAGAUACUCAUAAUACAAAAAAUAAAUCGGUACCACCCAGAACUUAAUACUGAUGCCAUGAUUGGUCUACGGCUGAACAGGUAAGUCUAACACAAUAGGUAAAACGAAAUAAUAAUUCUCUUCAUACAUACACAUCUAUCUCAGGUCGACAAUGGUUAAACUCAUACUGUGCGAUAAGCAAGCAGCAGAUUUUAGCAUCCUAGAAAGCAAGAAAAAUAGGAAAUUUAAAGUUGUCAUCAUCACAAGCAUAAUUCCUAAACUUUUUCAAGGUAAAUAAUUUUAUUAAACACUCAAAAAAUAAUACAGAUCUAAAUUUUUUUUAUCAACACAACAAUAAUAUCCAAUAUUUUCCAUGAAAACUACUACUCAGUUCAUCACCAGCAACAAAUUUCUACUUCAACAAAUCAAUUGACUACAUAAAGCAUUUCAAAGGGCGAAUAAGAGAUCAUGCAAAAGUAUGCAGCAAAGAGUGACUUUAAUUCAUGCAUCAUUCGGAUUAUUAUUCUCUUUCUCACAGAACUUGAUACCUAGAUUUAUUUACAUUUUAAACAAUUUUAUCAUUGUUUUUUUUAAAUCUCUACUUCUAUAUAAAAUCUAAAACUCAACUUCUGGGAAAGAGAAUAAUAAUCCGAAUGAUUCAUGAAUUAAAGUCACUCUUUGAUACAUGCUUUUGCAUGAUCUCUUAUUCGCCCUUUGAAAUGCUUUAUGUAAUCAAUUGAUUUGUUGAAGUAGAAAUUUGUUGCUGGUGAUGAACUGAGUAGUAUUUUGCAUGAAAAAUAUUGGAUAUUAUUGUUCUGUUGAUAAAAAAAAUUUAGAUCUAUUAUUUUUUGACGUGUUUAAUAAAAUUAUUUACCUUAGAAAAGUUUAGGAAUUAUGCUUGUGAUGAUAACAACUUUAAAUUUCCUAUUCUUCUUGCUUUGUAGGAUGCUAAAAUCUGAUGCUUGCUUGUCAAACAGUAUGAGUUUAACCAUUGUCGACCUGAGAUAGAGGUGUAUGUAUGAAGAGAAUUAUUAUUUUUUUUACCUAUUGUGUUAGACUUACAUGUUCAGCCGUAGACCAAUCGUGGCAUCAGUAUUGAGUUCUGGGUGGUAAGGAUUUAUUUUUUGUAUUAUGAGUAUCUACCCGACGACAUCUGCACAUUGAUUUUAAGUUAGAAUAAACAUCCAUGUUUUUUUAAUUGAUACUGGGCUAACUUACUUACCUGGUACGCAGGUGGGUGUAGUGGCUAAGCGCAAUAGAUUUUUGUAAUUCUAAGGAGAGAAAUUGUGAAUUGGAAAUAUUGGACUGAUGUCUGUAACUUUCAAUGUUAUUGUCUUUUGGUCGAUCUGAAUGUAAUAUAACAGUUGGGUCAGUUUCCGAUGUCGUGAAUUAUGUAUGACAGAAAAUCCUGAAAACUCAUAUAUAUCUCCUUCAGUUAAAUUUUUUGGGUCAUUCGGCUGAAUGUUUCCGGUGAGCCGACCUUCUAAUAGUUGUCCCUGAAUGUGAACAAAUUUUGUUGUGCCGAACUAAUUAAGUAAAUAGUGAGUAGUUUAAAUCAAAUAUGGUGGAUUGGAAAAUAUAUAUAUAUAUAUAUAUAUAUAUAUAUAUGUAUAUGUUAAAGUUAAUAAAAGGCUUACGUGGUGAUCGUAGCACAUGAAGUCGAUGCAAAUUUAAGUAUUAUCUGUUUGGUGUUUUCUGAUGUCUCAAACACUUCUUAUACAUACCGUGAUAGGACGCACUGAAAUAUCUUCCUGAAGUUGGUAGAUUCUUUGAGGAAUGUGUUGCAUGUGAGAUGUCACUGUAAGACAUGCAAUUUUAAUUUAUGGCAUACGUUCUUUAGAACUUUACAAAAGAAUCUAUAAAUUGUAAUAAGAUACAUGUAUUUCCAACUAUAAUUAUUACACACAGGGAUAUAUUUUCAAAAUUAAUUUUUUUGGUCCUACGGAAUAUAUAAUAGCCAGACAGUUAAAAUAUAUAUUUCCUCACAAAUUAAUGCUACCAAAACAAAACUUAUAAUUAGUAUUACUGAAAUGUUCUUUUAUUUUUCAUAUAUAUUUAGUUGUCUAUAAUAUUUUAUAAUUACAGAAAAAAAAUAAAUAAUAUUUUACAUAUAUGAUCUCGAGAUUAGAAAGAAAUUAAUUCUUCUUUUUAAUAAAAAAAUAAAAUCAGUAUAUUGAGUUUUUUUUGUUUCAAAAAAAUAUUUAGUUAACCCUAUAUAUAAGAAAAAUAAUAAUAUAAGAAAAACAUAAUUAUAUCUUAAUUAUAUAAUUUUUUUUUAAAUAAUCACAUUGUAAUUGCAUAUCUUAAGAUAUAUUAAAAGUUUAAAAUAAAUUUAACAACAAAUAUCUUUACAUAUCAACAAAAUAAAAAUAAAUUAUUAAUUCAAUAUAUUAUAUUUAUAUUAAUUUUUAAAAAGUUUUUCAUAUAUUAAAAAUUAAUAUUUAGUUAACUAUUAAAUAUUUUAUAAAAUAAAAUAAUUUACUCUAACGGUGUUUGAAUUGAUAAUAUAUGUAUAUACUAUUUAAGUACAAUUAUUAGGCCUGCGAGUGCAAACAAAAGAUCUAUCAUUCAUACAAAGAGAAGGAAUUCAUAUUAUAUUACAGUUGGCUUACCUACAAAACUCUAAUAGUAUAGUUAUUUAACUUUUUAAUAUGAAUUCUAUAUCAUUGACUAUAUAGAUAUAUAUUUUUACUUUUCGUUUUUAUUAAAAGAGUUUCGUAGAUAUAAAUAUAAAAAAAUAUAGUCAAUCUUACAUCUAUGAUUCAUAAAUAUAAAUAUAAAAAUAUUGUAUAUUUAACAUCUAUCUAUGAUUAUAAAGUAAACAAUAAAUAAAUGUUAAACGAAUAUAAUUAUCACAAUUUAUUACUGCAUACCUUCACAUAAAUAUCAAUUUAGAAAGAAUCUUGUUUAAAUAAAUUCGAAAGGGAUAUUAAAUUCUAUGUUAUUCUAAAACUAAUCAAUCCGGUUAUAAUUUUUAUAUUUUAAUAGAAUUUAAAAAAUACAAUAAACAAAAAAAAAAUAUGUCAAAUCAAAUUGCUACUAUUUUCAAGUUUUUUUAAUAAAUACAAUUUUAUACAAAUUUGUACUAAUAAUAUAAUUAACCACCCAGACAGUAUUGUAAGAGAUAAAUAUAUAACAAAAUUUAUUUAUUAAAUUAAGUAGUAAAACUAAGUUUCAUCAAAAUAUAUAUAGCAUUGUUCUAUUAAGCUAUGUAGCUGUUGCAAUGAGACAUGUGAUUUUAAAUAAAACAACUUUUUACGAAAUGGAUUUAUAAUAUUAGCAUCCUAACUUUAUCUAUGGAUUACUUCCGAUUGAACAUUCCAGAGUAACGGCAGAGAUGUCUUAUUUACCUGCAGGUGAUAUGGCUUGGUCAGAGGGUGUGUUGUCCAUUCCUGACUUGCACAGCGAUUCUUACAACCAGCACACUAUCAAUCAAGUAUAUCAAUGCGGAUAGCGCAAGAAGACGGUAUUGAUCGUCUGUCGGCUUAGGCGAGAGAGAGAUAGGGUUUUGAAAGAAUUGUUUUUUUUCCCCAAGAUAUUAGGCAAGAGAUCGAUGAUAUAUCUUUUUAAAGGAAACAUUUGUUAAGCUUGUGAAUGCUGGUUUAUAUCAACUUUCCGUUUCACAUAAAGAUUUAUGGAAAUAUGGGAUUUUGUAAUGAUUUCGUGUUAAUGCUGUGAUCUUGUUUCCAUAAAUACAAAAAUUUACUUAUGAAUGUUGACGUUGGGCAAAUCAUUUGGGAAGCUGUACCUAUUUGUUCUUCUUCUUAACAACAACGCCAAGAACGUGAUAUCAUCGAAGGAUACGGUGUGUUGCCUUUGAUCCAUCGCCAAAAUCAUUCUAAAGUUUCUGUAUGCAUUAUCUAUUCAAAUUUUAAUAACAGAUGAAGACAAGUGUCAUA